rnacentral:rRNA from 1 species
UCGAGGAUCUUCGGCAAUGGGCGCAAGCCUGACCGAGCGACGCCGCGUGAGCGAUGAAGGCCUUCGGGUUGUAAAGCUCUUUAGUGGGGGAGAAAGGCGCAAGCUUGAUCUAUCCCAAGAAUAAGCACGGGCUAAGUUCGUGCCAGCAGCCGCGGUAAGACGAACCGUGCGAACGUUGUUCGGAAUCACUGGGCUUAAAGGGCGCGUAGGCGGCUUGUCAAGUCCGGGGUGAAAGCCCCCAGCUUAACUGGGGAAGUGCCUUGGAUACUGACGAGCUCGAGCGAGGUAGGGGCAGAUGGAACUUCCGGUGGAGCGGUGAAAUGCGUUGAUAUCGGAAGGAACGCCGGUGGCGAAAGCGAUCUGCUGGACCUCUUCUGACGCUGAGGCGCGAAAGCUAGGGGAGCGAACGGGAUUAGAUACCCCCGUAGUCC